rnacentral:rRNA from 2 species
GCAGGGAUAGGGACGUGCAUAUAAUGCAGGUCGAACGAGGUUUGGUCAGUUUGCGGUGGUGCUUGCAUCACCAAUUACCGAUCAAACCGAGUGGCGGACGGGUGAGUAACACGUGGGUAACCUGCCCUUCAGCAGGGGAUAACAUUUGGAAACAGAUGCUAAUACCGUAUAACCACGGAGACCGCAUGGUCUCCGGGUAAAAGAUGGCGCAAGCUAUCACUGAAGGAUGGACCCGCGGCGUAUUAGCCAGUUGGUGGGGUAACGGCCUACCAAAGCGAUGAUACGUAGCCGACCUGAGAGGGUAAUCGGCCACAUUGGGACUGAGACACGGCCCAAACUCCUACGGGAGGCAGCAGUAGGGAAUCUUCCACAAUGGACGCAAGUCUGAUGGAGCAACGCCGCGUGAGUGAAGAAGGCUUUCGGGUCGUAAAACUCUGUUAUUGAAGAAGAACGUGUGUGACAGUAACUGGUCAUGCAGUGACGGUAUUCAAUCAGAAAGUCACGGCUAACUACGUGCCAGCAGCCGCGGUAAUACGUAUGUGGCAAGCGUUGUCCGGAUUUAUUGGGCGUAAAGCGAGUGCAGGCGGUCUUUUAAGUCUGAUGUGAAAGCCUUCUGCUUAACCGAAGAACGGCAUCGGAAACUGGGAGACUUGAGUGCAGAAGAGGAGAGUGGAACUCCAUGUGUAGCGGUGAAAUGCGUAUAUAUAUGGAAGAACACCAGUGGCGAACGCAGCUCUCUGGUCUGUAACUGACGCUGACGCUCGAAAGCGUGUGCAGCAAACUGGAUUAGAUACUCUGGUAGUCCACGCCAUAUACGAUGAAUACUAAGUGUUGGAGGGUUUCCGCCCUUCAAUGCUGUUGCUCACGCAUUAAGUAUUCCGUCUGGUGAGUACGACCGCAAGGUUGAAACUCACAGGAAUUGACGGGGGUCCGCACAAGCGGUGGAACAUGUGGAUUAAUUCGAAGCCACGCAAAUAAUUUUACCAGGUCUUGACAUCUUCUGCCAUGCUGACAUAUCAAGUGUUCGCUUCGGGGAUAGAAUGUCAGGAGGUGCAUGUUUGACGUCAAAUCCUUUCUUGAGUAUGUCGGUUUAGUCCAUCAACAAUCGCACCCUUUAUGAUAAUUCCCAACUUUCAGUUGGGCAUUAGGUCGGACUGCCGUGACCACCAGGAGGACGGUGGCAUGUCCGG